UGAGGUAUAGCUCAGUGGUAGAGCACUUGCCUAGCAUGCAUGAGGUCCUGGGUUCAAUCUCCAGUAUCUCCA
rnacentral:tRNA from 1 species